rnacentral:rRNA from 1 species
AACGAACGCUGGCGGCAUGCCUAACACAUGCAAGUCGAACGAGACCUUCGGGUCUAGUGGCGCACGGGUGCGUAACGCGUGGGAACCUGCCCUUAGGUUCGGAAUAACUCCCCGAAAGGGGUGCUAAUACCGGAUAAUGUCUUCGGACCAAAGAUUUAUCGCCUUUGGAUGGGCCCGCGUUGGAUUAGCUAGUUGGUAGGGUAAAAGCCUACCAAGGCGACGAUCCAUAGCUGGUCUGAGAGGAUGAUCAGCCACACUGGGACUGAGACACGGCCCAGACUCCUACGGGAGGCAGCAGUGGGGAAUAGUGGACAAUGGGCGGAAGCAUGAUCCAGCAAUGCCGGGUGAGUGAUGAAGGCCUUAGGGUUGUAAAGCUCUUUUACCCGGGAUGAUAAUGACAGUACCGGGAGAAUAAGCUCCGGCUAACUCCGUG